rnacentral:rRNA from 1 species
AGUGCGCAAUAAAAGAGCGUACGGUGGAUGCCUCGACACGAAAUGACGAUGAAGGACGUUGCAGGGUGCGAAAAGCCUCGGUGAGAUCCCAAGCAAUCUUUGACCCGGGGAUGUCCGAAUGGGGAAACCCCUCCGAUGUAAUAAUCGGAGAUCGUGCACUGAAUUCAUAGGUGCAUGAAGAAGACCUGGUGAAGUGAAACAUCUCAGUAGCCAGAGGAAAAGAAGACAAUCAAAAGACCACUAAAUUCUUUGCACGAAUUUUUCCCGAUGUAAAUCGGGAUUGAUUCGUGAUAAAGAUUGGUGGUUGUGAUUCCCUUAGUAGUGGCGAGCGAACGGGGAAGAGCCUAAACCUAUAGUGUAUUGUAGCAGAUGCAGAUAAGUUUCGACUUAUUGAGAUCUGUUACUCAAAGGACAGGCCGUUGCACUAUAGGUGUUGUAGGGUACAACAUCGACUACCUGUUAUGUCGGUCUUUGUAUGAAUCUUGUAUAGUCGAAGAAGCCUGGAAAGGCACAUCAUAGAAGGUGAUAAUCCUGUAGACAAAAUACGUUUCAUACCAAGAGGUUGUAUCCCUGAGUAGGGCGGAACACGUGAAAUUCCGUCUGAAUCAGCCGCGACUAUGCGGUAAGGCUAAAUACAUUUCGUGAUCGAUAGUGAACAAGUACCAUGAGGGAAAGGUGAAAAGCAGCCCGGUGAGGGCGAUGAAAUAGUAUCUGAAACCGUAUGCUUACAAUGAGCUGGAGCCCGGCCCCGCAAGGGGUUUAGGGUGACAGUGUUCCUAUUGAAGAAUGAGCCUGCGAGUAUGCUGUAUGUUGCAAGCUUAACUCCGUCUCGGAGGUAGGCGUAGGGAAACCGAGUCUUAACGGGCGUUUAAGUAGCAUACACAUAACCCGAAACCGGGUGAGCAAUCCAUGACCAGGUUGAACCCCGACGAAAGUCGGGGGGAGGACCGAACCCACGCGCUGUGCAACACGCGGGGAUGAGUUGUGGAUAGCGGAGAAAUUCUAAUCGAACUCGGUAAUAGCUGGUUCUCCUCGAAAUAGCUUUAGGGCUAGCUGUAUAUGUUCCCUCUGGGGGUAGAGCACUGGAUGAGGUCGAGGUCCUUCGGGAUACUCACUUCAAUCAAACUCCGAAUACCAGAGAUUAAUAAUAUGCAAGUCAGACAGUGGGGGCUAAGCUUCAUUGUCAAAAGGGAAACAGCCCAGAUCGCAAACUAAGGUCCCAAAGUCAUCACUAAGUGUAAAAGGUGGUGUUAAUUCUCAUACAACCAGGAGGUUGGCUUAGAAGCAGCCAUCCUUUAAAGAUAGCGUAAUAGCUCACUGGUCAAGAGUUUUCGCGCCGAAAAUGUACCGGGGCUAAGUGAUGCACCGAAGUUGCGAACCCCGCCGUAUGGCGGGGUGGUAGAGGAGCAUUCUUAUCGCAGUGAAGUCGGACUCGCGAGAGCCGGUGGAGCGAUGAGAAGAGAGAAUGCAGGCACAAGUAGCAAGAAUCCGGAUGAAAGUUCCGGACGCCGAAAACCUAAGGUUUCCAGGGCAACGUGAAUCGUCCCUGGGUUAGUCGGUCCUAAGGGGAGUCCGUCAUCUGGCGGGGUACCCGAUGGAAAAGCGGGCUAAUAUUCCCGCACUUGGUAUCGUUUGUUAUACAAUCCGUAUUUCAAAGGCAAGAGCGUUGUAUGGCUACACGUUUCGCAAGAUAGAGACUGCGUCUUCGGAUAAUGUCAAUUUUUGUUGGAGAAGUACCAAGAAAAGUUUUAUAACGUUCGGCGAUAUCAAACCGUACCGGAAACCGACACAGGUGGGUAGGUCGAGAAGACUAAGGCGCACGAGAGAAACAUGGUUAAGGAACUCGGCAAAACAGCGGCCGUAACUUCGGGAUAAGGCCUCCCCGAUGUCGUCGCAAGACGACUCAUCGGGGCGCAGCGAAAGACUCCAUGCAACUGUUUACCAAAAACACAGCUCCCUGCGAAAGCGUAAGCUGAAGUAUAGGGGGCGAUGCCUGGCCAGUGUCAGAACGUUAAGGGGAGAGGUUACCCGGCCCGCAAGGGCCAGGGGAAGCUUUGAACUGAAGCGCUGAUGAACGCCGGCGGUAACUAUAACCGUCCUAAGGUUGGAUGCACUACCUACAUAUUAGGUAGCGUAUCCAUGGACUGGGACGGUUAUUGAAGAGAUUAUGGAGUAGCAGAGUUCCAAAAAAAGCUGCCUUAAUUUACAGUAAUGUAAAUAAAGUCCAAUCAUGGCUAUAUGCUGGGAAUUCAAUGACAGUGAAUAAUCAGCAGGGAAGUCCGUCAUUUGGCGGAUCCCUCAGAGACCACACGCCGUGCUCCCGAUGUAUCGGGAUGAAGAUAUGGUCCUUCGCAAAAGGAAGCGAAAAGCGAAAUUCCUUGUCGGGUGAACACGUUUCUGUGCGGAAACUAUAAACUCGCCCGAAAUCAUGGUAACAUGAUAAUAAGCAUACCGGCUCAUAACGGUGAAGCCCUCCUCCCGGUUUAAUCGGGACGGGUAAUACCGUGGGAAGUCUCCCUCCUUAAAAAUAAGGAUUGGAGACCCCGUAACGACUGACCCGAAAGGGGAGGACCGAUGUCAAUCGGUCAACACGCCGGCUCUUAUUUUCAAGAGCACUCUAUGGAGGUAGGAUCCUAUAUAACAGGAUUUGUGGAUGGAGAAGGAAGUUUCCUUGUUUCAUUUUCAAGACGUUCAGCUAUGGUAUGUGGUAUUGAAGUUCGACCUUCAUUUACCGUAAGUCAGCAUGAACGCAGUAAAGAUAUUUUGAGUAUUCUGCAAAAUUUUUUUGGGUGUGGUUCUGUUCGUUUUAAUAGACGAGAUAGAACUUGGAAAUAUGAAGUAAGAAGUUUGGAUAAUCUUAUAAAAAGAAUUAUUCCACAUUUUACGGCAUAUCCACUCCAGACAUCCAAACGCAGUGAUUUUGAACAGUUUACUCAAGUCUGUCUUUGGAUGGAACAAAAGAAACAUCUUCGACCAGAGGGGCUAAAACAAAUUAUCAGGAGCGCGUAUAGAAUGAAUAAUUUUGGCGCUCGUCGUUAUGUAAAACAAGAUCUCCUAAUGAGUGUGAAUAAGAUGAAGGUAUAGUCUGAUCCCCGCAGUAAUGCGGGAUAACAAAAAAUUGGAGUUCCGACCCGCACGAAUGGCAUAAUGAUGUGGAGACUGUCUUAACCAUGUACUCGGCGAAAAUGCAAGUGUCGUGAAGAUGCGACAUACCCGCAGCUAGACGAAAAGACCCCGUGAAGCUUUACUAUAGUUUGACAUUGGUACAUUGUUCUACAUGUUCAGUAUAGGUGGGACCCGCAAGGGGCCAGUGAGAUACCACCCUUGUAUUGCGAUGUGUCUAAUCCAAUGCCGUGAAUCCGGUGUAGGAGACAGUGUCUGAUGGGUAGUUUAACUGGGGCGGUUGCCUCCCAAACAGUAACGGAGGCGUUUACAAAGGUUGGCUUGCUCCGGAUGGAAAUCGGAGUGGACGUGCAAACGCAGAAGCCAGCUUUACUGCAAGGGCUACCACCCGCGCAGUCACGAAAGUGGAAGUUAGUGAUCCGACCGUACGAUAUAGGACGGCGGAAGCUCAACGGAUAAAAGUUACUCCGGGGAUAACAGGCUGAUCCCACCCAAGCGUCCACAGCGACGGUGGGGUUUGGCACCUCGAUGUCGGCUCAUCGCAUCCU